GCUAUGAGAUGGUCUCAUCAAUGUGCAACAAUUGAACUGGAUUUCCAACUUCCUGAGAGAUUCAACCUCACGCUAGGAUUUUAUGGCUUUCUCCCCAUCAAGUUGUAGUAAUUCCUGUCAGUAGUAAAUAUGAUGAUUAUGCCGAACCGGUAAAUUUAAUUUGAUUCAAAAGAAGUUCCAUGCAGCUGGUUAUCGUGUUGAUACAGACUUGGAUCACGGAUCAACACUAAAUAAGAAAGUUCGCAAUGCACAACUUUCACAGUACAACUUCAUUCU